rnacentral:rRNA from 1 species
GGGUCAGUAGGUUGGUCGUGCCACCGGUACGUACUGGUCUGACUGAUUCCUGCUUCCUGAAGAACCGUAAUGCCAUUAAUUUGGUGUUGCGGGGAAACAGCACUGUUACUUUGAAAAAAUUAGAGUGUUUAAAGCAAGCUGACGCUUGAAUACAUUAGCAUGGAAUAAUGAAAUAGGACGAUCGAUCCUAUUUUGUUGGUUUCUAGGAUUGACGUA